CCGAUUCAGCCCUGAGGCAGAAAAACUGGACAAAGCAGUUUUUUUCCCCCUUCCCCUUUAUAGAGUGUGUGAUUUGUGCAACAGCUUUGGCUUGGCAAAUAGGGAAGUGUCAGCGCUAAAUCAGCUUUACUCUAAGGGCACGGUACGCCUGUGUUUCUCAACCGAGUGAUACCCAAAUCCAGGACCAUUUUACUUCAAGUGGAAUACACACACAGAGCAAACAUUCUCAAGUCUUACAAAGUGGCCAGACCUCAUCCAAUUGGCUGAAGAUCCACCUAAGAGGACUGAAUGCGCGAUCCUGCUGCAAGAAGCAUGGUGGACGCCUACCCAGUGGGUUAGAAGAGGUUGAGCAACACAAGUCUUCCAUACCAGGUGACUUAAAGACAACAGUGAGGAUAUCCAUAUUCUGGAGGUUGGAUCUCUGGGAAAGCUGGUCACUGGCUUCUGCCUGGCAUGAAGGGUACAGAAGUAUGCAACAGCUUGCUGUGGGAUCUCAGUUCCUCGAGCAAGUAUCGAAUCUGGACUACAGCAGUGAAAGCACUAAGUUCUAA
ensembl:lncRNA